GACGAACGCUGGCGGCGUGCCUAAUACAUGCAAGUUGAGCGCUGAAGGUUGGUACUUGUACCAACUGGAUGAGCAGCGCACGGGUGAGUAACGCGUGGGGAAUCUGCCUUUGAGCGGGGGACAACAUUUGGAAACGAAUGCUAAUACCGCAUAAAAACUUUAAACACAAGGUUUAAGUGUGAAAGAUGCAAUUGCAUCACUCAAAGAUGAUCCCGCGUUGUAUUAGCUAGUUGGUGAGGUAAAGGCUCACCAAGGCGAUGAUACAUAGCCGACCUGAGAGGGUGGUCGGCCACAUUGGGACUGGGACACGGCCCAAACUCCUACGGGAGGCAGCAGUAGGGAAUCUUCGGCAAUGGGCGAAAGUCUGACCGAGCAACGCCGCGGGAGGGAAGAAGGUUUUCGGAUCGUAAAACUCUGUUGGUAGAGAAGAACGUUGGUGAGAGUGGAAAGCUCAUCAAGUGACGGUAACUACCCAGAAAGGGGCGGCUAACUACGUG
rnacentral:rRNA from 1 species